CUACAAAUAAACAUAACGCAAAACUCAAAAUCUUUCAACACCUGUACACCAUUUUGCUUCUCCCGUUCACAAACUGAAUUCAGGUACAGCUGAUUGUAGACAAGCCUGGUGUGUGGAUAACUGAGGAACCUUUGCAAUGGCUAACUGGCUGCCAGGGGUUGGAAGAGUUCACUGAACCUUCAAAGUGCACAGCUGUUAUCUUUGACUAGUGGCCAAAAACAAAAUUAUAGCUUUGGUAAGAGGUCUCCAUGGAUCAUGCUUGUUUGUCCAGCACAUCCCACAGAUGCCUGGUUGGAUUGAGAUCUGGGGAAUAUGGAGGCCAACUCAACACCUCAAAUUCACUGCUUUUCUCCUCAAAUUAUUCCUGAACCAUUUGAUAAAAUCUUAUUUUUAGACUGAAAUACCGCAAAGGAUUCUGGGAAGUAGCUAGCCGGUCGUCACGGCAAAGCUACGAGAGCGUCUCUCAGCAUGGGCCCAAAAAAAGUUCUGUCAGCCGAGGAAGGAGACGAUAUUAAGAAGUCGCUGGAGUUUAUGACAGAGGAGAUUUCUACUGUCAAACUGCAGCAGAAAGCCAUCCUGGACCUGGUCGAGGAAGUUAAGGCUCUCCGCAUCCAGAACGCCGAGAAGGAUCGGCGGCUGGCGUACCUGGAGAACAGAGUGGCGGAUUUGGAGCAGUACACCCGGAUGAACGAUGUUAUCAUCACGGGGCUUCGCAUCAAACCCCGGUCAUACGCCCGGGCGGUCGCCACUGACAAUGUAGGAGGGCCAGGAGAGGAAGAUGUCAACUCCACGGAGCAUCAAGUGGUUACCUUUCUACGGUCCAAAGGUGUGGAAGUGGAUUAUAACAACAUUGAGGCUUGCCACCCUCUACCCCGAAAAAAUGACAGUAACAAACCAGCCAUCAUUGUGAGAUUUGCAAACAGAAAACAGAAAACAGCACUGUUAAAACAAGGAAGGAAACUGAAAGGAUCUGAUGUCUUCAUGAACGAACAUCUGAUAAAAAGAAAUGCGGACAUUGCCAGGAAAGCACGUUACUUGAAGAAACAGGGAAAAAUUCAAAAUACAUGGACCACCAACUGCAAAGUAUUCAUUAAACUCAAUGGAACACCGGAACAAGCCAAAGUGUUGGUCAUCAGAAAUAUGGAAGAGCUGGACAAAUACUGAGGUCAACUUACUCUGGAGAUGCCAGCGCAGUUGGGGCGGGAGCGGUGCUUCUCCAGGAGGAUACCCAGGGCAUUGACCAUCCUGUGAGUUACUUCUCUCGGAAGUUUGACAAACACCAGCUCAGGUAUUCUACCAUUGAAAAGGAGACCCUUGCUUUGUUGUGGGCCUUGCAACAUUUUGAAGUCUAUACAGAGUCAGGUCAGAGGUCAGUCCAAGUAUUCACAGAUCACAACCCUUUAGUUUUCCUCUCCAAGAUGUAUAAUCACAACCAGCGGCUUAUGCGUUGGUCACUGAUUAUUCAGAAUUAUACCCUCAAAAUCCAUCACAAAAAAGGUUCAGAAAACAUUGUAGCAGACGCACUCUCCCGUGCUGUUUAGAGAGGUCACCAAACCCUGAGUUUGGUUUUUGAAAGGUGAGAGUGUUACGUGCCAAGGGGUGUGGCUUUGCUUUUGUACUCUGUUUUGUGUUCUAUUCAUCUUUCAGGCGUCAGGCCUCCUCUGAUUGGCCAGUUCGAAGUUGAUUGGCAGGUGUCUAUUGGCUGGACUGGGCUCAGUUGGCCAAUCACACUCCAAGGAACACUACAAAGGAGCCGCUCCCUGGCCAGCUGGUGGCUGCUGGCUUCUGCUUUGACAAACAUUUGCGAACAGGCAUCUUUAUGUUGUGUGUGGUGGGAGGCUGGACAGGUAAGCCGGGGUACCCUAUACACUGGUUGUAGAUUUUACUCUGUUAG
ensembl:lncRNA